UUAAACUGAUCCCAGCAGGAGGGUGGAUUCAUGGUGGAUAUCAGUAAUAAAACUAGGAAGUACAUAAAGUACGUAGGCAACAAAAGACCACGCUGAAGCCAAGAACAGCCAAACAGGCAACAACCCAUAUAAGAGGGGUGAAUACACAGACAUAGUCCUUGAUAUUAUUGGAGGUGAAAAGUCGGAAGCUCUGCAUGAGAUCCAAGAUGUUGCAGAGGAUGGUGAGCCUUCUUCAGAAACAUUUAUUCUUAAUCUCAGCCCUGUAAACGAGGGAGAAGGUCAAUCACAGGUGGAGCCAGAAGGCCUAGUUCCCACAGGACCCCCAGAGAGAGGCUCAAAGCACCCAAAGAAAGAUGACGCCUAUAAGGUACUUCUGCAAAAAGAAAGUGAAAGGGCAGAAGUACAGAUCCAUCUAGCAGAGGAACAGCUUAUUCUUGCCCGACGAAGCAGAUGAUGAUGAUGAAGAAGAAGGAGAACUCAUAAGAAGAACUACUCAUAACAAGAACUAAGAAGUCUCAGAUGAGUGGACUGCCUGUUUCCAAGAAAUGGACAAUGGAGGGGGAUGUUUAUAUUGUUUGUUUGCUGUUCCGUUCAGUCCUAUUUUCUGUUCAAAUAAAGCAUAUUGGAGUGACCCCA